rnacentral:rRNA from 1 species
GAUGAACGCUGGCGGCGUGCCUAAUACAUGCAAGUCGAGCGAACGGACGAGAAGCUUGCUCCUCUGCUGUUAGCGGCGGACGGGUGAGUAACACGUGGAUAACCUACCUAUAAUACUGGGAUAACUUCGUGAAACCGGAGCUAAUACCAGAUAAUAUUUUGAACCGCAUGGUUCAAAAGUGAAAGACGGUUUUGCUGUCACUUAUAGAUGGAUCCGCGCUGCAUUAGCUAGUUGGUAAGGUAACGGCUUACCAAGGCGACGAUGCGUAGCCGACCUGAGAGGCUGAUCGGCCACACUGGAACUGAGACACGGUCCAGACUCCUACGGGAGGCAGCAGUGGGGAAUAUUGAACAAUGGGCGCAAGCCUGAUCCAGCCAUACCGCGUGAGUGAAGAAGGCCUUCGGGUUGUAAAGCCCUUUUGUUGGGAAAGAAAAGCAGCAGGUUAAUACCCCGCUGUUCUGACGGUACCCAAAGAAUAAGCACCGGCUAACUUCGUG